UGGCGGACGGGUGAGUAACGCGUAAAGAACUUGCCCUUUAGACUGGGAUAACAGAGGGAAACUUCUGAUAAUACUGGAUAAGUUAGUAUAUCGCAUGAUAUGCAAAUGAAAGCUACGGCACUAAAGGAGAGCUUUGCGUCCUAUUAGCUAGUUGGUAAGGUAAGAGCUUACCAAGGCGAUGAUAGGUAGCCGGCCUGAGAGGGUGGACGGCCACAAGGGACUGAGAUACGGCCCUUACUCCUACGGGAGGCAGCAGGG
rnacentral:rRNA from 1 species